rnacentral:rRNA from 1 species
AGUCGCGCGGUUGAUGGGAGCUUGCUCCCUGAUGUUAGCGGCGGACGGGUGAGUAACACGUGGGUAACCUGCCUGUAAGACUGGGAUAACUCCGGGAAACCGGGGCUAAUACCGGAUGCUUGUUUGAACCGCAUGGUUCAAACAUAAAAGGUGGCUUCGGCUACCACUUACAGAUGGACCCGCGGCGCAUUAGCUAGUUGGUGAGGUAAUGGCUCACCAAGGCAACGAUGCGUAGCCGACCUGAGAGGGUGAUCGGCCACACUGGGACUGAGACACGGCCCACACUCCUACGGGAGGCAGCAGUAGGGAAUCUUCCGCAAUGGACGAAAGUCUGACGGAGCAACGCCGCGUGAGUGAUGAAGGUUUUCGGAUCGUAAAGCUCUGUUGUUAGGGAAGAACAAGUACCGUUCGAAUAGGGCGGUACCUUGACGGUACCUAACCAGAAAGCCACGGCUAACUACGUGCCAGCAGCCGCGGUAAUACGUACGUGGCAA